ACGGGAGGCAGCAGUGGGGCAUAUUGCACAAUGGGGGAAACCCUGAUGCAGCGACGCCGCGUGAGUGAUGGAGUAUUUCGGUAUGUAAAACUCUAUCAGCAGGGAAGAUAAUGACGGUACCUGACUAAGAAGCACCGGCUAAAUACGUGCCAGCAGCCGCGGUAAUACGUAUGGUGCAAGCGUUAUCCGGAUUUACUGGGUGUAAAGGGUGCGUAGGUGGCAUGGCAAGUCUGAAGUGAAAGCUCGGGGCUCAACCCCGGAACUGCUUUGGAAACUGUUAAGCUAGAGUGCAGGAGAGGAAAGUGGAAUUCCUAGUGUAGCGGUGAAAUGCGUAGAUAUUAGGAAGAACACCAGUGGCGAAGGCGGCUUUCUGGACUGUAACUGACACUGAGGCACGAAAGCGUGGGGAGCAAACAGGAUUAGAUACCCUGGUA
rnacentral:rRNA from 1 species